rnacentral:rRNA from 1 species
UACGUAGGUGGCAAGCGUUAUCCGGAUUUAUUGGGCGUAAAGGGAACGCAGGCGGUCUUUUAAGUCUGAUGUGAAAGCCUUCGGCUUAACCGGAGUAGUGCAUUGGAAACUGGGAGACUUGAGUGCAGAAGAGGAGGGUGGAACUCCAUGUGUAGCGGUGAAAUGCGUAGAUAUAUGGGAGAACACCAGUGGCGAAAGCGGCUCUCUGGUCUGUAACUGACGCUGAGGUUCGAAAGCGUGGGUAGCAAACAGG